AGUUUGUAUACCGCUGUUGUCAGUUAGUUUUUUUAGAAAUCUUUCUUUCAUGAUAAAAUCAAAGACUUCAAGUAAAGGUGCAGCUGAUGUAAAAGAUAGAGGUGGGUUACAUUUAAAAGAAUAAUACGAAUAAAGUUUAUGAAAUAUCUUUUGAAGGUGGAUUUAAAUGUAAAGUUUAUAAAAACUUGAUGAAGGCUCUAUCUUGUGUACAC
rnacentral:rRNA from 1 species